GAUGAACGCUGGCGGCGUGCCUAAUACAUGCAAGUCGAGCGAACAGACGAGGAGCUUGCUCCUCUGACGUUAGCGGCGGACGGGUGAGUAACACGUGGAUAACCUACCUAUAAGACUGGGAUAACUUCGGGAAACGGGAGCUAAUACCGGAUAAUAUAUUUAACCGCAUGGUUCAAUAGUGAAAGACGGUUUUGCUUUCACUUAUAGAUGUACCGCCGCGUCAUUGGCUAGUUGGUAGGGAAACGGCCUACCAAGGCAACGAAGAGUAGCCGACUGGGGAGGUGGAUCGGCACAACGGGAACGGAGACACGGCCAAGACUCCAACGGGAGGAAGCAGAGGGGAAUUUUCGCAAUGGGGGGAAGUCUUGACGGGGCAACGCGGGGUGGGGAAGGAGGGUCUUCGGACCGUAAAAUUCUGUUAUUGGGGAGAAAGUAGGGUGGAAGUAAAUGUUCACGUAGUGACGGUACCUAACCAGAAAGCGACGGCUAACUACGUG
rnacentral:rRNA from 1 species